AGAAGUCCCUAAAUGACGUCAUCACCUAUUUUGCAUGUAAUUGUGAUGGACGCUGUUGAAGAGAGGAAUAACGUCGUGGGAGAUACAAAAAGGCAGGAUCAGCCAGCGGCGGCUUCCCGCAUGCGCGAUUCAUUUGCAGUCUGGAUGCGGAAGGGUGAACAUCUCCUGCUUUGACUGCAGCUGGGAGGGACUGCUACAUGAGGACUGGGCCGCAUGCGAGUGCUUUGGGACGGGGCCAACUGCAGCACCCGCUGCUCGUUGAGAAGAUCUGCUGUCCCCACAUGCUUCAAGAUGGCCACCAUUGUUC